ACUUUAAUAGGUCACAGUAUUAAAGGAAGAUGGAGUCUUUUUUAAAGUUAGAAUCAGUGUUUGCUAAAUGUAAUCCAAUACACUGAGCCUGAUCUUGCCAGGUAAAUGAGAUGCUCCUGAGAUAAGUAGGGAUUCUAUGGAUACCAGCUGAGCUUGAUUUUGGCUCUCUGAAAUUGAAUGGACUGUGGGAAAACAGACAUCUUCUCUAGUUCCAAUCUGCACAUUGUAAAGAUCAGAACUAAAGACAACAACUACAUUAAAAGGAAUAAAGAAAUGAGUAGCCUCCUGUGCAGAUAUUCCAAUCCAGAGAGAUAAGAACUUAAUUUUGAAAAAGAAAGAAGUUUUGAGAAAGAAGCAAUGAGACUAGAGGAAGAUUAUACAUCCACUUAAACCUCAGAAAAAUUGUUGGACAGUGUGGAAUAAAAAAAAAAAAAACAAACCCUAGAUUUGGAGU
rnacentral:lncRNA from 1 species